rnacentral:tRNA from 1 species
GCCGGAGUGGCGGAAUUGGCAGACGCAAGGGACUUAAAAUCCCUCGAAACCUGGUUUCGUACGAGUUCGAGCCUCGUCUCCGGCA